GGUAGCUGCUGGAGGGUCACGUUCGGUGGUUUGGCUCGAGAAUGUCACGUCUGGACAUGGGGACUGGAUUUACCCAACCAAGAUGAUAGCCUAUAAGCAUUGAAGGACUAUCUAAUUUCUCACUUGUGAGUCAGAUUGAUUCUUUUAUUUGGACAUAUCGUCUCGCCUUGGCCAUAUUUCUAUAAAAUACAACUAUCUGAGCUAGAGUUACAUCUGUGUGGACAUAUUGUUUUCUUACAGCUAUCUGAAGUUUAGUAGUUGUCUGAAGUUUAGUAGUUGUCUAUCUUGUUUUCCAGGGAUCUGGAAUUACAGGAGCCUGAUGGAAGCAUGAAGAUUUUUUAGGCUCCUCUGCUCCUAGAGCUGGACAAGAUGGGCCAAGUCAUUUAUAUUGGGGCUAACGACAAAGGUGAUUCCUGACCUUGCCAUCUCUUAACUACUUUGCUGCUACUGAGCACAUAUACGAACUGCAUAGCCAGGUUCAUUUAUGUUAGGAAUAACUACAUGAGUUAUUUCUGCCCAGGUUCAUUUCUUACGAGACUAAAUAUGCACUGAACCUUGUGUGCCUUGUAGUAUCUGUAGUAUCUCUCUUUUAAAGAUCAAUAGGAUUCCAAGAUCGACUAUAGUAGCACCAGGCCUCCCACUGGCCUAAUCAAUCUCUGACUUAGCUUGUAUUUUACCUCACAUUUCAUUGCCUCUACACCCUAGGGUCCUAACCACUAUUUUUUCCACUUGCAGGUAUGUUCCAAUGUUUGUGGAGAUAGAGUACGAUCCGAACUGCCAGUACACAUCUGUUCUAAUGGAAGAGCAACUAGAGGCUCUUGGAAGAGCAAUAGUUGCUGGCAAGGUAUGUUCCACCUCAUUAUUAGCCAACUCCAGUUCCACCUCACUUUUAUUUAUGGAACUACAUAAUGAACUCUUUGAUGCUUCAUUAAAAUGAUGAUUUAGAUUUAUGGUAUAAAACCAACCAACAUGCUACUGCCUGAUUCAUUAUGCCUUUUAUUUUUUCUACCUACUAAUGCAUCAUGAUUACUUUCCAAUUGUUAUAUGUAAAUCUAGCCUAUGCACAGUGGCUUGUGGAGUUUGGAGCCUGAGGUUGAACUAUCUAUACUAUUCUAAUCAUUUAUCUUCUCUGCUAUUGUUUUUUAAUAAUUUACCACUGUAGUCGUGGGAGCAGUUUGUGUUAUGCUAUAUAUGGGUCCAUGAGGUUAGUUUCAAAUUUUGACUUGCGCUUGAAAGAGCACUAUUUCUUUCACAAAGUUUAUAGCAAAACCAGUAGGGGGAGUCCUUUUAUAUCAUGCAUUCUCUUUUGCUCGUCAACUAAGGUUACAUCAAAACCAUAGUCCUUGCUUGAAAGAGACAUAUUACUAGGGUAGUUGUUUUCUUGUGCAUUCUCUUUUGCUCGUCAACUAAAUGUGAUUCCUUUUGAUGCAAGUUAGCAUAGUUGACAUGAAAUUAUUUGUCUUAUGCCAUUUUUUCUUUAGGUUGUGUAUGCAAGUGGUG
rnacentral:lncRNA from 1 species